UACAGAGACUGCGAGCGUUAUUCGGAUUCACUGGGCGUAAAGGGUGCGCAGGUGGCCAGGUGUGUUAGGCGUGAAAGCCCGGGGCUUAACCCCGGAAUUGCACCUAAAACUACUUGGCUAGAGCAUUGGAGAGGGGAGCAGAAUUCAUGGUGUAGCAGUGAAAUGCGUAGAUAUCAUGAGGAAUACCAGAGGCGAAGGCGGCUCCCUGGACAAUUGCUGACACUCAGGCACGAAAGCGUGGGGAGCAAAAGGG
rnacentral:rRNA from 1 species